GGCGGCGCCCGACACCAGGCUGCAGACAACCAGCGGCAGGAUGAUCAUGCGCAGCAUGCGGAGCAGCAUCUCGCCGGGGAAGGACAGAUGUGUAAGUACCACAUUACAAAAUACCUUGCAAGUGGUGCAGUCUGAUACCACUCGCCAUCACCACCACCACCAUCAUUAGGUGCUUGAAACUCUCAAUAGGCUGGAGUACUGCUCGGACACACAUGACAAAUGAUGCUUAUACUCAGUGCCCACAACUACAGUGAACCUAGGCUUAGAUGUAGUUCCUGGCUACUGACCUGAACCACAACAGAUUUUCCUCCUACUUAAGAAAGAAUGUUGGCCUGCAAUGUCCUCCAACUCAGUCUGGACUCAACGAUAUGAUUUUCUUUAGCCAAUGGGUAUACCUGACCCAAGGCAAGCAGAAAUUUGAAAUAGGUUUACACAUUAGGUUUUUCUCUUGUGCCAUUGCCAUCAGAACAUGCCUGGGGGGAAGAGAGACACGCGGAGCACAGCUGAGUCCUCAGUCAUCAUAGCAGAGUUCAUCCUCGAUCAACUACCAGCCAGACUACCCCAAACGUGGAAGUGGAACCAGCCAGUCAGCUGAGCUGUCUAGCCGCCCCCACCACCACUCCAAGAAACAUGAGCAAUAAAAACCACUGUUGUGUGCCAUGAAAGUUUUGUGGUUCUUUGUUAUAGUGUUAGUCCAUAUCCACUAAGCAGCAGAUGCUGAGAUGGAAGAAAACAUACAAGGAUUUUAUGCAGGGAGUAGCAAUGUGAGAGAAAAAAGGGUGGAGGGAACUGCGCCCCAAGACAGCUGUCAGAAGGCAAUGCAAGUCUGACCCAGAUGAAGGAAGGAGAGAAGGAAAGUUGGGUAGGCGAGUCUGCCAUGCAGUCCAAGGGAAAUUCAGCCUCAGCUAUGGUGGCCACCAUGUGCAACAUGCAAACAUUGGAUUAUUUCAUUAUAUUCCCUUUGUGAUCAUUCCCAGGUAUU